rnacentral:rRNA from 1 species
AUACGGAGGGUGCAAGCGUUGUUCGGAUUUACUGGGCGUAAAGGGCACGUAGGCGGAUAUGUAAGUCAGGGGUGAAAUCCCGGGGCUUAACCUCGGAACUGCCUUUGAUACUGCAUGUCUUGAGUCCGGAAGAGGUGAGUGGAACUCCUAGUGUAGAGGUGAAAUUCAUAGAUAUUAGGAAGAACACCAGUGGCGAAGGCGGCUCACUGGUCCGGUACUGACGCUGAGGUGCGAAAGCGUGGGGAGCAAACAGGAUUAGAAACCCCGGUAGUCC